rnacentral:ncRNA from 1 species
AGGUAAGCUACUAAGAGCGAACGGUGGAUGCCUUGGCUAGUAGAGGCGAUGAAAGACGUGCCAGACUGCGAUAAGUCUCGGGGAGCCGUCAAGGGGCUUUGAUCCGGGAAUUUCUGAAUGGGGCAACCCAAUACAUAGCGAUAUGUGUUACCAUUAAUGGAGCCAACGCGGGGAACUGAAACAUCUAAGUACCCGCAGGAAGAGAAAUCAAUAGAGAUUACGCUAGUAGCGGCGAGCGAACGCGUAAGAGGGCAAACCACUAGUUUACUAGUGGGGUUGUAGGACCGCAACAUAGACUAGGAUCUGAUAAUAGAACAAUCUGGAAAGGUUGGGCAUAGAGGGUGAUACUCCCGUAUAUGAAAUCACAUCCUUACUUAGCGGUAUCCUGAGUAGGACGGGACACGUGAAAUCCUGUCUGAAGCCGGGUCGACCACGAUCCAACCCUAAAUACUACUACUAGACCGAUAGCGUACAAGUACCGUGAGGGAAAGGUGAAAAGAACGGCGGUGAGCCGAGUGAAAUAGAACCUGAAACCGUUUGCUUACAAUCAUUCAGAGCACUAUG